AAUGAGUUUCUGACCUAUCAACUCGAGACGGCGGGGUAGAGGCCCGCCGCGGUAACGACGGGUAACGGGGAAUCAGGGUUCGAUUCCGGAGAGGGAGCCCGAGAAACGGCUACCACUUCCAAGGAAGGCAGCAGGCGCGCAACUUACCCUAAUCUCGAUUCGAGGAGGUAGUGACAUAGAAAUACCGAUGCGGGACCCUACGGGUGCCGCGUUCGGAAUGAGUACGAUUCGAACCACCUAACGAGGAACGAUCGGAGGGCAAGUCUGGUGCCAGCAGCCGCGGUAAUUCCAGCUCCAAUAGCGUACGUUAAAGUUGCUGCAGUUAAAAAGCUCGUAGUUGAACGUUCGGGUUCCGCGGGACGGGGCCGCCCCGCGAGGGACGGCGCCGCCCCGGGGCUCGUGAUAUCUCAUCUCGCCGCCCGUCGCGAGGCGGACGGAGGGGAUGGAUGAGGUUACCUGGAAAAAAUCGGG
rnacentral:rRNA from 1 species